UUAAAACAGUUAUAGUUUAUUUGAUAAUCGAAUUUACAUGGAUAACCGUGGUAAUUCUAGAGCUAAUACAUGCUGGUAUGCCCAACUUUUCGGAAGGGCGGUAUUUAUUAGAUAACAAGCCAAUAUUCCUCUGGUCUAUUGUGGUGACUCAUAAUAACUGAUCGAAUCGCAAAGCCUAUGGCUGCGAUAAGUCAUUCAAGUUUCUGCCCCAUCAGCUUUCGAUGGUAGUGUAUUAGACUACCAUGGCGUUUACGGGUAACGGAGGAUUAGGGUUCGAUUCCGGAGAGGGAGCCUGAGAAACGGCUACCACAUCUAAGGAAGGCAGCAGGCGCGUAAAUUACCCAAUCCUGACUCAGGGAGGUAGUGACAAGAAAUAACGGACCGGGGCCUUACGGCUUCGGGAUUGCAAUGAGCCGAAUUUACACCCCUUAGCGAAGAUCGAUUGGAGGG
rnacentral:rRNA from 1 species